GCGUGCGUGCGUGCGUGUGUGUGUGUGUGUGUGUGUGUGUGUGUGAGUGAGUACAACGCUGAGUGCUACAAACACAGAC
rnacentral:miRNA from 1 species